rnacentral:rRNA from 1 species
AGUUUGAUCCUGGCUCAGGACGAACGCUGGUGGCGGGCCUAACACAUGCAAGUCGAACGAGGCUUUCCGGUGCUUGCACUGGAAAAUCGAGUGGCGAACGGGUGAGUAAUACAUGAGAAACCUGCCUUGGAGACGGGGACAACCUCGGGAAACUGAGGCUAAUACCCGAUAUCCCUGCCGAGUCGCAUGACUUGGCAAGAAAAUACUCAGGUGCUCCAAGAGGGUCUCAUGCCCUAUCAGCUUGUUGGUGAGGUAAAAGCUCACCAAGGCUUAGACGGGUAGCUGGUCUGAGAGGACGAUCAGCCACACUGGGACUGAGACACGGCCCAGACUCCUACGGGAGGCAGCAGUGGGGAAUCUUGCGCAAUGGGCGAAAGCCUGACGCAGCCACGCCACGUGUGGGACGACGGCCCUCGGGUUGUAAACCACUUUCAGCAGGGACGAAAAUGACGGUACCUGCAGAAGAAGCCCCGGCCAACUACGUGCCAGCAGCCGCGGUAACACGUAGGGGGCGAGCGUUGUCCGGAAUUACUGGGCGUAAAGGGCUCGUAGGCGGUUUGGUAAGUCAGAUGUGAAAACUCCAGGCUCAACUUGGAGACGCCAUCUGAUACUGCCAUGACUAGAGUUUGGUAGAGGAGUGCAGAAUUCCCGGUGUAGCGGUGAAAUGCGCAGAUAUCGGGAGGAAUACCAGUCAGCGAAGGCGGCACUCUGGGCCACAACUGACGCUGAGGAGCGAAAGCGUGGGGAGCGAACAGGAUUAGAUACCCUGGUAG